UACGAUUGCAAAAAUGCUGUCGGUCCCCAUCGUGAUGUCCUAUCAUACACAUGUGCCUGUAUACCAAGAUACACGCAAGGUUUCGAGGCGUUUUCCCUUCGCCUCACGAGGCGUAAGUAUCGAGGCGGAACGAGGCGUAAGGCCGAGGCGGUAUUAAUAAAUAAAUAUUAAAAUUAUAUAUAUCAUAAAAUAAUAAUUACUAAACAUCAAAAAAAGAGUUUUCUCAUCAAAUUUCAUCAAAUUCAGUAGUUAAAAACAUAAAAAAGAUUCAAAUUUCAUCAAAUACUUGACAUAAAAAAAGCUAUUUAAGAAAAGCACACAUAGAGAAGAAUAGCUUGAACAUGUGAUGUCAAGCGGGUUGAAAAUCAUUCAAAGUCUAUAUUAAAUCAAUCUAUAAUUUUACUUUUUUACAAAAUGACCAAAAAAUGGUUUAUCUGAAACAAAAUCACCAAAUACUAUGGUUGGAACAUUGUUCAUUUCUGUUUGAAUGAUUUCAGAAAUGGUGAACCUGAUCGACCAUUGAUCGUACAUGUUGGGCGUAUUGGAGUCGAGAAAAAUUUGGAUUUACUUAAAAGGUAGCUUCUACUUUAUUUAUUCCCUUCAUUCCAUGAAAUUACUAUUCCAAAGUUUAUUCUAUUGGUAUGAUUACUUAUGCGUAUACAUACAUAUCCGCACCGUCGUAUUCUCAUUCCUUUUUGGGCUUUUCGAAUCUUAGCGUCGGACAACAAUUACUAACACGGCACGUAAAUAAAUAGGUAUUGUGUCGGCUAACCCGUUUUAUUAAACAGCUGAACUAUAUGGGUUAAUCUGAACUUGACCCGUUAAUAAGGUUUGGGACACAUGGCAUGUUGUGGUGCACUUACCAGAAUGGAUCUUGUGAUUAUACCUGCUGGUGUUCCAAGAAAGCCCGGAAUGACACGUGAUGAUCUUUUCAAGAUUAAUGCGGGAAUUGUUAAAACUUUAUGUGAAGGAAUUGGAAUGUGUUGCCCUAAUGCAAUCGUCAACUUAAUUAGCAAUCCUGUGAAUUCUACGGUUCCAAUCGCUGCAGAAGUUUUCAAGAAAGCUGGUACUUAUGAUUCCAAAUGCUUGGUUGGUGUCACUAUGCUUGAUGUUGUUAGAGCCAACACUUUUGUGGCUGAAGUUUUGGGACUUGAUCCAUGAGAAGUUAGUGUCCCGAUGGUUGGAGGAAGUUUGUGAUGUGAGUGAAGUGGCUGGGAGAAAUAUGAUGUCCACAACCUCAACUACCACAAACUUGAUGGGCUUACAGAUUUCUGUAUCAUGGUUGACGCCGAUGCACUUCUAGAAAAAGAUUUAGUAACUUUAGAUGAGGCAUUGCAGAUUGCAAAUAAUGUUGUGUUGAUGUCAUUAAACGCAGUCUCCAUUUUGGCUUCUAUAAGUGGAGUCCAACAUAAAAUUUCUGGAUAUACCGCAUGGGAGUAUGAAAGAACUUGGAGUCAAAGACCUAAAAAAGGUUUUGUAGUGAGAUGGAGGAAGAUGUGGAUCACCUGCUCGUGUCAUGCUACAUCGCUUUAGGGGUUAGAUAGAAUGUAAGUCUUUGGUGCAUCAUCCCUUAUUUUUCAGGUACAAAGGUGAGGGAGCUGUUCAAAUUUUAUUAAGCAGAAGGCAUAUUGGAAAAUAAAAGAAAGUUGGUGCAAUGAUUCUUAUUGUGUCAUCUUGUGAGAUUUGAAAAGCACGAAACGAAUUGAUGUUCUCAGGCAAGCGGGUAUCAGUUGAUCGGAUAUUCGCGUAAACUCAGGCGAUGUCGUUCAUGUGACUGAAACAUCGGGCGAACCGACCAGGGUUAGAGUGGGCGAAGUGGCUAAAGUGUGAUGUUUUGGGUUGAUCUGUAAUUGGAGUAUGGGGUGAGUUAUGUACGGGUAUGGGUUUAAUGGGUACUAGCGACUUACUGGUACAUGCCCUUGUAACAUAUAUAAAUUUGGUGUGGAAUAAAAUCAUUGUUUGCCAUCCAAAAUAAAAGUAGUUUCUUUUCUUUAA